rnacentral:lncRNA from 1 species
AACUGAUAUUUGCCCAGGACGCCUGUGGACCUUUAAUCACAACGAAAGAGGGUAGAGUGUGGAGCUGAGCCUUGUGCCUCUGGACACAUUACAGCCUGGGCCUCUACCAGGACCCAGCACCGAAUUAUGAUCAGUAAUUCUGUAUUAUUUUCCUGAAGGAGACACUCUUGCAAAUUGUGUAAGCUUCAGGGCCCCUCAAAACCUGGAGAAUCUUCUGACCCCUUUCCAUACCAAAAGAAAAACUUCUACGUGACACGAAGCUACUGAAUAAUCAAGAAAUGAAAGAUGGGUCCAUCACAAACCAGACAAUUGCUUGGGACUCCGAGGACGUCCUGUCGGCAGUUCUCAAUGCAGAGGAACCCAUGUGGAUGCGUGGCUUGCGCCUAGGCUGAUCCCCGGCCUGGCUCCAGGCGGGCAUCACUGUCUGCCCUGUACUCUGCCUUCCCGCCGUCCUCACCAGCUUGGAGGAUUCUGAAAGGGAGCCCAUGCCUAGGAGGUCUGGCGGCUUCUCCUGCCAUCCUAUUUCUGGGCCUGGCCACAAGGAGGUUUCCAAGAAGGGCCCUUGGUCAAUAUCACAGACAGCUCUUGGGUUCCUGAGCUGUGCCUUGUUAGGGCAGACCAUAGAAUCCAGCCACAGGCACAGGCUAUCACCACCACCUGCUCCAUGUGGGUCCCUCCUCUGUGUACUGGAGGUGUGAGGACACUGCUGGGGCUCAAGUUACAGGCCCUGUACCCCUCAAAAGACAGAGUCUGACUGCAGAGGGCAAACACUCCACAAAGCCAACUGAAAAGCAUUGAGUGGGAAGGCAGUGGGGAGCUCUGAGUGUGACCCCCGUGCCGAGGCAUCCACUCAAGGGCUGAUGGGUGGGAGAGGCGCUGGGACCUGGGGAGCAGGAUGUGGAGAUGGGAGUUCUCCUGGGAAGGCAGGUCUUGCAGGGCUUAUGGCAGGACGGUACAGAGAAGGGGUCCUGGGAAGCAGGGGACUGGUGUGGGUUAGGUGGGUUGGGUCACUGUUUGGGAGGCGUGACAGUUGUCUCUGCUUUCCGCACGCCUUCAAACUCAAUGGCACGAAACUGGAGGGCACAAAGGCCCUCCCCUCAAAACCCCCAAAUCGCCCACCAUCUCUGCGUCCUGCUACUGGCCACAUUUUAAAUUGCCCGCCAUCUCUGCGUCUUGCUACUGGCCACAUUUUAACAAAUGAUGUUCAGCAUUUUUCCCUUUGGGUUUGUCAGAGCAGGGUUGUCCCUGGAUGUUCUGUAGGGUCGUUGUGUCGGGGGCAGGGG